UACGUAUGGUGCAAGCGUUAUCCGGAUUCACUGGGUGUAAAGGGAGCGUAGACGGCGACGCAAGUCUGGAGUGAAAGCCCGGGGCCCAACCCCGGGACUGCUCUGGAAACUGCGUCGCUGGAGUACGGGAGGGGCAGGCGGAAUUCCUGGUGUAGCGGCGAAAUGCGUAGAUAUCAGGAGGAACACCGGCGGCGAAGGCGGCCUGCUGGACCGUGACUGACGUUGAGGCUCGAGAGCGUGGGGAGCAAACAGG
rnacentral:rRNA from 1 species